rnacentral:rRNA from 1 species
GAUGAACGCUGGCGGCGUGCCUAAUACAUGCAAGUCGAGCGAACGGACGAGAAGCUUGCUUUUCUGAUGUUAGCGGCGGACGGGUGAGUAACACGUGGAUAACCUACCUAUAAGACUGGGAUAACUUCGGGAAACCGGAGCUAAUACCGGAUAAUAUUUUGAACCGCAUGGUUCAAAAGUUAAAGACGGUCUUGCUGUCACUUAUAGCUGGAUCCGCGCUGCAUUAGCUAGUUGGUAAGGUAACGGCUUACCAAGGCCACGAUGCAUAGCCGACCUGAGAGGGUGAUCGGCCACACUGGAACUGAGACACGGUCCAGACUCCUACGGGAGGCAGCAGUAGGGAAUCGUCCGCAAAGGGCGAAAGCCUGACGGAGCAACGCCGCGUGAGUGAUGAAGGUCUUCGGAUCGUAAAACUCUGUUAUUAGGGAAGAACAUAUGUGUAAGUAACUGUGCACAUCUUGACGGUACCUAAUCAGAAAGCCACGGCUAACUACGUG